rnacentral:ncRNA from 1 species
CGUGGUUCGUAGCCACGUGCUCUAAUCCUCUGAGCUACAGGCCCCACCCCGUCUCCACUGGAUCUCCGAGAUCCUUUCGAUGACCCAUUUCCAGUGGUGGACGGGUGAGCAACGUGUAAGAACCUGCCUUUGGGAGGGGAACAACAGCUGGAAACAGCUGCGAAUACCCCGUAGGCUGAGGAGCAAAAGGAAGAAUCCACCCGAGGAGGGGAUCGCGUCUGAUUAGCUAGUUGGUGAGGCAAUAGCUUACCAAGGCAAUGAUCAGUAGCUGGUCCGAGAGGAUGAUCAACCACACUGGGACUGAGACACAACCCAGACUCCUACGGGAGGCAGCAGUGGGGAAUUUUCAGCAAUGGGCGAAAGCCUGACGGAGCAAUGCUGUGUGGAGGUAGAAGGCCCACGGGUCGUGAGCUUCCUUUUUCGGAGAAGAAGUAAUGACGGUAUCUGGGGAAUAAGCAUCAACUAACUCUGUGCCAGCAGCCGCGGUAAUACAGAGGAUGCAAGUGUUAUUCGGAAUGAUUGGGCGUAAAGCGUCUGUAUGUGGCUUUUUAAGUCCGCCAUCAAAUCCCAGGGAUCAACACUAGACAGGCGGUGGAAACUACCAAGCUGGAGUAUGGUAGGGGCAGAGGGAAUUUUCGGUGGAGCGGUGAAAUGCGUAGAGAUCGGAAAGAACACCAACGGCGAAAGCACUCUGCUGGGCCGACACUGACACUGAGAGACGAAAGCUAGGGGAGCGAAUGGGAUUAGAUACCCCAGUAGUCCUAGCCGUAAACGAUGGAUACUAGGCGCUGUGCGUAUUGACCCGUGCAGUGCUGUAGCUAAUGCGUUAAGUAUCCUGCC